rnacentral:rRNA from 1 species
UACGGAGGAUUCAAGCGUUAUCCGGAUUUAUUGGGUUUAAAGGGUGCGUAGGCGGUCGGAUAAGUUAGAGGUGAAAUGUCGGGGCUCAACCCCGGCCGGCCGUUGAAACUGGCGUGCUCGAGUUGGAGAGAAGUAUGCGGAAUUCGUGGUGUAGCGGUGAAAUGCAUAGAUAUCACGAAGAACCCCGAUUGCGAAGGCAGCAUACCGGCUCCACACUGACGCUGAGGCACGAAAGCGUGGGUAUCGAACAGG